GGAAUUCCAUGGUGCAGACCUUCAGGCUUCACACAGAGGUAGAGUAGGGAAUGUCUUGACCUUCAAUACGAGACUGCAGCAGAUCAUUGGGAACUAUGCAGGAGGCUGGAGUUGAGGCAGAAAGUAUACAUACAGCUGGAGCAAAAGUGAUCACAUCCAGGAUGGGUAGCUGGGUGUCCACUCUGGGGCCU
rnacentral:lncRNA from 1 species